UAACUGUAUUUGUUUUGUAAUUGAGGGUUUUGAUUACACAAUUUUUGGUGAUAUUCUUGGUCCAUAUAUGAUAAGCUUUUUUGUAUUCUCUGCUACUACCGUUUACCAUGUAAGACGCAUUAAAAUUUCAACUUUUAAAUAAUGCUAAUAUGUUGUAUACACGAAAUUCUUGAAUAUUAAUAUAUUUAUAUUGUAUUGUUUAACCAAUUAUCUUUUAUCCAUAAACAAAUGGCCUCACGAAAUAUGUGGAUACUAACUCAUCUUCUGUUCAUUUUUCAUAAAAGUACUUUUUGUCAUCUUAUCAGCACUUGGGACAGUCUUGAUUGGUUUUGGUUUAAAUGAUGACAUCCCCAUUAUACCAAAUUUCUUUUAGUUUCCAUUUUGCAAUUUCAAUAAUGUUAGUUUGCUGUUUCCACUUCUGAGCUGGAUUGAUGUUGCAAAACUUUAAUAAUUUAGAUGUACUUGCCAUCCACUUUUCCAUAUUUUUCUUUUGUGGCCUGUGCUAUUUAUCAUAACAUGCUUAAAAAUUCUGAUUACUCUGUUUAAAAAAAAAAGAGAAUUCUAAUUACUCAAUUCCUCCCCCCCUCUUUUUUGCACUAAAAAAUCUUCUGCGGUAACAUUGUUGGAAAGUACGAUCAACAUAGUUUUAUGGAUCAUCAUUUUCGAAAGUCACCCACUUUGAAGUGUCACUUGCAAUUACUAAGCCUUCCCAUAUCCAUAAUCUUGAAUUAUAUGCAUUGACUACAUUGUGGUCAGCAAGGCAUGAUCUUCUGGUGCAAGAAAAUUGAAGCAAUGUCAUAGUUGAUAUUUCACACAAUUUUGACGAUUGGUCAAGUUCUGAAGAGGGUGUUUACAUAUGGUUUUGUCUAGAGGGAAGAUCUCUUUAUUACAUCCAAACUUUGGUAAUCAAGAUUCGAACAAAUUGAGAAAAGAUACCUUUAUUCGUUUCUCACCCCAAAUAUAUUAACAUUUCUAUCCUUUGGACCAUCCUUCUUUCAGUUAGCGUUGCUCAGUUCUCUCUCUCUCAUUGUGUUUUGGGAUGUAAUGGUGCUUUUGAUAUAUGCUUUACACACUUCCUAAUGUUAGACAAAAUCUAAGCUGCCUUUAAUAAUUCACCACUCAAUCAUUCCUUUCAUUUAUAUGCGCAAGUGUCUUUUCUUUUUUCUUUUUUUACUUUUAAAUUUUACAAGAACAAUCGUGUGUCAUAGUUGAUACAAAUGACAUGUGAUCAAGCAAUUGAAAUGUUGGUGAUAUCUGGUUCUUUUCCAUUAACUUUUGUUGUCCUUUGGGUUAAAGGAUAUUCAUGUAUUGUGAUGUAUGAACAUGUGUAGGUGCACUGAUCAUGCUCCUGAAGAUGUACCCGUGGCAUUUAACAAAACUCUAGAUGAGCUGGAACUUGACUACAUUGAUCUGUACCUUGUGACCUAUUCAUCGAAAACCUGAUUCCAGCAGAUAACCGGAUGAAAAAUGAUGCUGGUAAGCAAGCAAUAGAGAAACUUUAUGAUUCUGGGGAGGCUAGAGAUAUUGGAUUUAGCAAUUUCUCUACUAAAAACUGGGAGUUCUUCUCGAAACAACUCGUAUUCCUCUUAUUGUUAACCAACUGGAGUACCAAUGGUAAGAUUAGAGGGAAGGCAACAGUUUGUGAUGGGAGCUGGUAUUGAGAAAUGUGGUUUCUAAAGCUGUGAAGUUUGUCGGCUAGCCCAAGUCAUGCUUUUGUCGUAGUUAUGACUGAUUGAUCAUUACAGCUGCUGCAUAUAUGGCUGUGGUUUUGUUGAUAUAGUUACUUGCGUCGAAGGUUGAUGCAUCAUCCCGCUGUAAUAAUGAUUAAACAAGUUUAAUUGUUAGCUAUGUCUUGAUGAAAUUAACAGAAAUCAACAGGA